rnacentral:rRNA from 1 species
UACAGAGGGUGCGAGCGUUAAUCGGAAUUACUGGGCGUAAAGCGUGCGUAGACGGUUAUUUAAGUCGGGUGUGAAAGCCCCGGGCUCAACCUGGGAAUUGCAUUCGAGACUGAAUAGCUAGGGUACGGUAGAGGGAAGCGGAAUCUCCGGUGUAGCGGUGAAAUGCGUAGAUAUCGGAAGGAACAUCAGUGGCGAAAGCGGCUUCCUGGACCAGUACCGACGUUCAGGCACGAAAGCGUGGGGAGCAAACAGG